CUGCGAUGAUGGCGCUUCUUAGGACACCUUUGGAUAAACCGUGGAAACCGCCACCGCCGAGCAGC
ensembl:snoRNA SNORD58 Small nucleolar RNA SNORD58